rnacentral:lncRNA from 10 species
CUGGAUGCGAGCUCUUUGUCAGAUGUAAGGAUUGUGAGUUACCUCCUCUAUUAGCAAAUUUAACUUGCUUAUUCAUCAACUCAUUCCAAGAGCACCAAUAAGGAAUGGGCCAGGCCCUGUGCUGGGUGCUGGGUUAUCAGAAUGAGUAUGAUGUGGCCCUCAUUCUUGAAGACAGCUCGACCGUGAUGGAGGAGACAGGCAUUUAGAAUAAGCAUGAAAUAAAGGUGGCUGUUAAGGGGUCAGCUCCCCUCACCAAAGUCACUUUUGAUUUACUUACAAAAGUUUUCUUAAGAUUUCUUCAGAACCCAGGUCAAAAGGCUGUGGCAGGAGGCCAGGCAGAUCACAGCGUCCAUGCCUAGAUGCUCCCUGACCCCCAGGAACCAGAAGUGCUGUCUCCUGAAGGCUCUGGAAACCCGGAAUCAGCCUACGAGGCACCAGGGCCACCUUGGAGGGUGGAAAUGAGGACCUCAGGCCCCAGAGGGCAUGCAGGCGAGGUGAAGUUCAGGAGAGCCAGGAAGUGUCCCCCUCUUCCCGGCCUGCUGUAUCCCAGGACACAGGGCGGGAAAGAACAUGGGCUGUGUGGCCUUGGACCAAUUGCUUGCCCUCUCUGGGCCUUCUUAUUGGUGACAGACAGACUGGUGACUUUCUGAGAGGAUCUAUGCAACCUCAGGCUCCUGCACCUGGGUUACAGGGUCUUCUGGAGGGGAAGAGAUGAGCAGCAAGGACAAUAGCAGUGCUCCCUUCCCGGGUCAGUUGCAAGGAUUAAGGAUGAUGUCUGCAAAGUGCUUAGUCAGAGCCGGCAUACGGGAACUCACAGCGAAAUCUACCAACCAAAGAGGAUGUCCAUACCUGUCUUUUUCUUUCUUCCUUCAUUUUUUGACUUAAUUUCCUCACUUGAAAAAAAAAAAUAAAACACCUUAUUCAGGGUAUACUUUAUGGGCAGUCUUAAUUUUUUUUAUUAGGAUGUGGGAUGUAAAUCCAUAAAAGAAGUAGAAGUGCUGAGCCUUCCUGUGGAGUGGGUGCUGGAGGGGAAAAGGUGGAGUUAGGGGAGGGAAGGGGAGGGCAGGAAGGUUGGUGAUGGGCAGAGAUUCACAGAGACUCCCAGGUCAGGGAGCAAUCCCCCAGUCAGGGCAGCAGGAAUGCCCAGAGGAAUUCUGAUCGGGACAGACGUCGGGCACUGAAUGAAGAGAGGUCCCUCAGGGGCCUGGUCUCAGGGGCCUUGAAUUCCACGCAAAGCGUGUCUUGAGCAUCAACUAUAUGCCAGGCACCUUUUACAUAUAUUAUUUCUUACUUCUAAAUUAUUCCAGAUUUUAAGCCGGGUGCAGUGGCUCACGCCUGUAAUCUCAGCAUUUUGGGAGGCCAAGGCAGAUGGAUAACCUGAGGUCAGGAGUUCGAGACCAGCCUGGCUAACACGGUGAAACCCCGUCUCUACUAAAAAUACAAAAAUUGCCUGGGUGUGGUGGUGCAUGCCUGUAAUCCUAGCUACAUGGAAGGCUGAGGCAGGAGGAUUGCUUGAACCUGAGUGGCAGAGGUUGCAAUGAGCUGAGAUUGUGCCACCGAGCUCCAGCCUGGACUACAAAGUGAGACUCCAUCUCAAAAUAAUAAAUAAAUAAAUAAAUAAAUCUAUCAAUCCAGAUUUUACCAAUUAGGAGACUGAGCCUCAGAGAAGUUAAAUCACUUGUCCAGAGCCCUGAAAUUGGAGAAGCAGCUGCGCUCAGACUGGAACCCUAGAUGGUAGGGCCCCUUAGUCCUCCUUUAUCUUGGGGGGAUCCAGGGAAGGCUUUUCAGCAGGGGAAUGAUGCAAUUGGAUACACAUGUCAGGGGGAACAUGACUGCUUGUGGCAAGGAACGCAGUAAGCCUGGG